GACGAACGCUGGCGGCGUGCCUAAUACAUGCAAGUCGAACGCAGUUGGGACGGGUGAGUAACACGUGGGUAACCUCCCAUCAGAGGGGAUAACACUUGGAAACAGGUGCUAAACCGCUACUGCUGGAUGGACCCGCGGUGCAUUAGCUAGUUGGUGAGGUAACGGCUCACCAAGGCCACGAUGCAUAGCCGACCUGGGAGGGCGAUCGGCCACACUGUGACGGAGACACGGCCCAGACGCCUAAGGGAGGCAGCAGUAGCGCAUCUUCGGCAAUGGACGAAAGUCUGACCUAGCAACGCCGCGUGAGUGAAGAAGGUUGUCGGAUCGUAAAACUCUGUUGUCAGAGAAGCGGUAUCUAACCAGAAAGCCACGGCUAACUACGUGCCAGCAGCCGCGGUAAUUC
rnacentral:rRNA from 1 species